rnacentral:rRNA from 1 species
GCGGCGGACGGGUGAGUAACACGUGGGUAACCUGCCUGUAAGACUGGGAUAACUCCGGGAAACCGGGGCUAAUACCGGAUGCUUGAUUGAACCGCAUGGUUCAAUUAUAAAAGGUGGCUUUUAGCUACCACUUACAGAUGGACCCGCGGCGCAUUAGCUAGUUGGUGAGGUAACGGCUCACCAAGGCAACGAUGCGUAGCCAACCUGAAAGGGUGAUCGGCCACACUGGGACUGAAACACGGCCCAAACUCCUACGGGAGGCAGCAGUAGGGAAUCUUCCGCAAUGGACAAAAGUCUGACGGAGCAACGCCGCGUGAGUGAUGAAGGUUUUCGGAUCGUAAAACUCUGUUGUUAGGGAAAAACAAGUACCGUUCAAAUAGGGCGGUACCUUGACGGUACCUAACCAAAAAGCCACGGCUAACUACGUGCCAGCAGCCGCGGUAAUACGUAGGUGGCAAGCGUUGUCCGGAAUUAUUGGGCGUAAAGCGCGCGCAGGCGGUUUCUUAAGUCUGAUGUGAAAGCCCCCGGCUCAACCGGGGAGGGUCAUUGGAAACUGGGGAACUUGAGUGCAAAAAAGGAAAGUGGAAUUCCACGUGUAGCGGUGAAAUGCGUAAAGAUGUGGAGGAACACCAGUGGCGAAGGCGACUCUCUGGUCUGUAACUGACGCUGAGGCGCGAAAGCGUGGGGAGCGAACAGGAUUAGAUACCCUGGUAGUCCACGCCGUAAACGAUGAGUGCUAAGUGUUAGAGGGUUUCCGCCCUUUAGUGCUGCAGCAAACGCAUUAAGCACUCCGCCUGGGGAGUACGGUCGCAAGACUGAAACUCAAAGGAAUUGAC